ACUAGUUAACAUGUAAUUAACACACCAUUAACAAGAAAUGGGCCCUGGUGACUUGGUUGGGCAAAGCAGCUUUAAUCAUAUUGAAACAACCCAUCAAAUUAAUAUCCAACGUAGACUUCACCUCACUCAACUCCAUUUUCUCCAGCUCCAGUGCAGAGAACACUCCAUGGUUCAACAAGAACACAUCAAUAGGCCCCGCUUCAUCAACAGCCUUCUUCACCGCAUCAUAGUCCCACACAUCCGCCGCAAAUACCGCCACCUCGAUUCCCGUAGCGUGACUGAUGGAGCUCUUAGCUUCCUCCAGCUUCGUCAAGGAUCGCGCCAUGAUGGAGACGCGAGCGCCGUCCGCGGCUGCACGGUGGGCGAGGGCGAGGCCGAUUCCGCUGGAUCCGCCAGUGAUGAAGACGUGACGGUUGACGAUUGGGAUCUUGACGGGACGGGGCGGACUAUGAAGUAGAGGAUUGGGAGGAGGAUGAGAGGAAGGAGGACGAAGAAGGAGAAGAAUGCGUCUGCCAUUGAUGCAGCUUCGAAAUCGAAAGGCGGACUCAAUCGGUGACUGCAGGUGCGAUAGCUAUUGGUGACGAUGUACGGCGAAGAAGAUGGCGGUGAAUCUUGUUAUGCAGUGAAGAAGAGGAAGAAUGCAAUGGUGGCUUCCGUGCUUCUGCUUGCAAUGCUUUGAGGAAUCGAUGAUGGUAGAUUCGUUGUGGACAGGUUGAUGAAGCGUGAAGAAUGAAGGUGAAGGAAUGGAACUCGCGAGGGAGUAUUGGUGAGAAACGGAAUGAGUGAAGGUGGUGGUUAGGGAUUGAAGAGAGGUUGCAAUGGUGGUUAACGGUUUUGUGAGUUUGUUACGGUUGUUGAAGGAAUUGAAGAGAGGCUUGGUCCAGUUGUUAGAGGUUGAAGAAGAUUAGGUGAUGGAGGAAGAAGAAGAAGAAUCCGGAAGAGGUUUUUAUAGAGUGGUGAGUGUGAUUUGGAGUUUGUUAGAAAAAUUGUUAGAUUUGUUAUUUUUUCUGUGAAAUCAUGCAGGUUUUGGUAUUGGCUUGUGCUGGCUCGCGUUUAGCUGCGGUUUACCGGCUUAAUUGUAACUGUAGCUUAUUUGGUGCUUGGAAGUAGCUUGGCUUGUAGUUGGAAUUGCAUCGCGUUUUGGCUUGGCGUGUUGCUUCUGUUGGAGUAUUGUGCAGCGUUUGGAGCGAAGCUCGUAGCAUUGUGGAGCGUUUGGAAGCACUUUGUGUAGCAGCUUUGGCCUGCGUUAUUAUUUUCCUUCCUCUUUGUAGCAGCUUUUUUCAAAUUGCUUUUCCUAUUAUUAUUUUUCCAUUUGGCUUAUUGGAUAUUGGAUACUGUAAACUAUAAAUGGGUAUGUACAUGGAUUUGGACAAUUCAAUGAAUUUGGAUAUUAGGAAUUGGA